AUUACCACAUUGCCAGAUAAGUUGGAUACUAGCUCUAUUAUGUUAGAUGGCCAGUUUCUGCAUAUGCGUUGUGCUGCUCACAUAUUAAACCUGAGUGUGAAAGAUGGAAUGAGUGUCUUAGAGGAAGGUGUAGAGAGAGUACGUGAUAGUGUUGCAUUUUGGUUGGCAACACCUAAAAGGUAUGAAAAGUUUGAAAAGAUGGCAAAAACAUUGAACAUAGAGUAUAACAGAAGGUUAAAUCUUGACUGUAAGACUAGAUGGAAUUCAACUUACCUUAUGAUAAGCAUUGCCCUACAAUACAUAGAGAUAUUUGAAAAAUUGAAGGCACGUGAAAAGAAAUUUGAUUGC
rnacentral:rRNA from 1 species